UUGCUUUGGCAGCACAUCUACUAAAAUUGGAACGAUACAGAGAUUAGCAUGGCCCCUGUGCAAAUUCGAGAAGUGUUCCAUAUUUUU
rnacentral:snRNA from 1 species